GAUUAAAAUAGGAUAUAAUUUUUAAUUUGCAAUUAAAAUUUAUUAAUUUUAUUAAUAUAUCU
rnacentral:tRNA from 1 species